AGUUCCCAGUUGCAGGAUGAGGCGCUUUGCAGGAGGGGGAUGAGCCUGGAGCUGCGAGGUUCCCUCAGCACUGGGACGGCAGAGAAUCACAGGACCGUAGGUGUGGGAAGAGACCUCUGGAGAUCAUUAAGCCUAACUCCUCUGCAAAGCCUUUCGUCAGAAGAGAUGCUCCAGGCCCCGUAUCAUCUUAGCGGCCUUCUGCUGGCCUCCUUCCUGGAGGUUCCCAGCUCUCCAGCUCAUCCAGGUCCUGCCGACGGGCAGCAGAGCCUUGAGGUGCAUCAGCAGUUCUUCCAGGCUUUGUACCAUCGGUGUAGUUGCUGCACAGUCCCCUCAUCAGGGUCACCGAUGAAGAUUU